GACGAACGCUGGCGGCGUGCUUAACACAUGCAAGUCGAACGGUAAGGCCCUUCGGGGUACACGAGUGGCGAACGGGUGAGUAACACGUGGGUGAUCUGCCCUGCACUUCGGGAUAAGCCUGGGAAACUGGGUCUAAUACCGGAUAGGACCACUGCCUGCAUGGGUGGUGGUGGAAAGCUUUUGCGGUGUGGGAUGGGCCCGCGGCCUAUCAGCGUGUUGGUGGGGUGAGGGCCUACCAAUGCGACGACGGGUAGCCGGCCUGGGAGGGUGAACGGCCACACUGGGACGGAGAUACGGCCCAGACUCCUACGGGAGGCAGCAGUGGGGAAUAGUGCACAAUGGGCGCAAGCCUGAUGCAGCGACGCCGCGUGAGGGAUGACGGCCUUCGGGUUGUAAACCUCUUUCAGCACCGACGAAGCGCAAGUGACGGUAGGUGCAGAAGAAGGACCGGCCAACUACGUGCCAGCCGCCGCAGUAA
rnacentral:rRNA from 1 species